rnacentral:tRNA from 2 species
GCCCCGUUAGCUCAGUGGUAGAGCGUGUCCAUGUUUCAUGGCAAGACACUGGUUCGAUUCCAGUACAGGGCA